rnacentral:rRNA from 1 species
AGGACGAACGCUGGCGGCGUGCUUAACACAUGCAAGUCGAGCGGAAAGGCCCUUCGGGGUACUCGAGCGGCGAACGGGUGAGUAACACGUGAGUAAUCUGCCCCUAGCUCUGGGAUAGCUCCGGGAAACCGGGAUUAAUACCGGAUACGACCACUUUAGACAUCUGUUGUGGUGGAAAGAAUUUUGGCUAGGGAUGAGCUCGCGGCCUAUCAGCUUGUUGGUGGGGUAAUGGCCUACCAAGGCGACGACGGGUAGCCGGCCUGAGAGGGCGACCGGCCACACUGGGACUGAGACACGGCCCAGACUCCUACGGGAGGCAGCAGUGGGGAAUAUUGCGCAAUGGGCGAAAGCCUGACGCAGCGACGCCGCGUGGAUGAUGAAGGCCUUAGGGUUGUAAAGUCCUUUUAACGGGGAAGAUAAUGACGGUACCCGUAGAAUAAGCCCGGCUAACUUCGCGCCAGCAGCCGC